rnacentral:lncRNA from 1 species
CAUAAACGCAAUACCACCCCCACUUCCUUCAAAUCACUUUCUUUUAUAGUUUUUAUUGAAAUAACAAUCUUCUUUUAACCAAAAAAAGAAAAACAUUCGCUGAUAAAGAAAAAUUAAUCACCUUUCCAAGGCUAUUGUGGUUAAGUGAUUGCAAUAAAAGGCCAGGUCUAGGGUACGAAAAGUGGGGCUGGUGAAGAUUGAAGAUACAAUAGAAGAAGAGGGAUAAGAGAGAUAAGAGGGAAUGGGUUGGGUAAAGUUGGCAUGGAGAGAGAAAGUAGCUUGAAAUGAAAUCCUAUGAGUGGAGUUGGGAUUCUUAUAGCCUUUUUUAUGCUUAUCUUAUGCUCUCAAAUCCUACAA